UUCACUUCUCAUGUACUCCUCCUCUUUUUUCUUUCUCACGCUUCUUUUUCAAACCCUCAUCUUCUUCCUCUCUCUCUUUCUUCCCCAGAAUUUCAUACUCUUGAAGAAACACUAUGUAGUUUAGGGUUAGAUCUGGCAAACUCAUUGAGUUUGGUGGACGAAAAAGAGUGACGGUGGUGAUGAUUUGGUUACAAACUUCUAUACGGCAGUGACAUUGGAUGAUCGGACAAGAUCAGAAUCAAUUGUAUACAUCUCCUUCGAUUGGUGGCUAGAGAUGCUUUGCAGAGAGAUGAUGUUAAACAUCUAGGGUUUGGGAGUAUAGAUGGAUUCAUCGCUGUGGUGGGACACACUCAUGUUCUUUAAGUUAAAGGUUAUCACAGUAUGUUUGUUCUCCUUUCAUUAAGGAUAAUUGGGUUCCAGCUUACUACGCGUUGGCGAUUUACAAUGUUGUGGUCUGCUGCUGCAAUGGUGGAUGCACAACUUUAUGUAAUCACUAGGACUAUAGCUCAGUGGUACUUCUCCAUAGACGAUCCGAGGGUCAAACAUCAUAUGACGUUCUCUAAGGUUUAUUUUCUUGCAGUUUAUAGGUUUUACACAAUCAUAUGUAGAAGGGAUGCUAUAAAGAUAAUAUCUUUGUUCAUUUAUUGUAUGCUUUUUUUAUAAACGUAUUUGGCCUGUUCUCAGGAACAAUACGUUUUUUAGGACUAUUGAUUGUUGUUGUACGAAUAGUGCGCAGGGCAGUUGUUACUGCAGCGAACGAAGGUGCAAGUGGGAUGAUCAACGUCGUUUUUAGAUGCUAUGUCAAUGCCCUAUUAUGGAGAUAAUUUCAACUUCAUUCAUGUUUGCCUUUGCAGUGGAUGCAGCGUGUGAGAAAAAUCCUUUUGAGGGUGCAGCUACUGCACCAAAAAAGACUGUUAAAGCAAUAGAUUCUGUAUCUUCUGUGUUUGGUGGUGCUUUGGAUAGCUUGUCACGAGAGGAUAUAAGCAGAAAGAUAACAUCGGCUCUUCUUAAAGGAUUGGAGAGUAAUGAUUGGAAGGCCCAUCUCAAUCUAUUGAAGCAGUAAGUAAAAUUGUGGAUGAGGCUAACAAGCGUAUUCAGCCUACUGGAACAGUGGAAUUGUUUGGGGCUCUUAGAGCUCAGUUAUAUGACAGCAACAAAAACUUAAUUACGGCUACACUGACUUCUAUAAGUGCUCUUGCAUCGGCAAUGGGACCUGUAGUAGCGAAGGCCAACAAUGUCAAUAGAUACGUCUAUCUCCAUUUAUAUAUAAAUAAGUUAGGUUAUUGUAAAUCCAAGAUUUAACAUUUAACAAUUAUACAUAUGAAUAUAAACACCCCAUGAAUAGUGAUCAACAUAUUUAAAAUAUUAUUUUUAUUUUUUAUCAAUCUUUUUAAGUAUUCUUUGUAAUUUCUUAAUAACAUGUCAUUUAUCACUUAAUUUAAUUUAUUUUUUAUAACUUGUGUUAACUUAAAAAAAAUUCUACCUCCAACUAUAUUUUGUAAAGCCUUGAUGAAUAGUGAUCAUAUUCUUUUAAGUAUUCUUUUUAAUUUUUGAUCUAAUUUUUUAAGUACUUUUUUAAUUUUUAAUAACAUGUUAUUUAUCAUUUAUUUUGAUUUUAAUAACUUACGAAGGUUAACUUUAAAAAAAAAAAUCUAACUCCGUAGCUAUAUUUUUUUCAAUAUUACCAUAUAAUUUUUAUUAGAAAGGGAUACUUGCCGCUAUCGUAGCAAAUUGAAUCGAAGAAUAGUAAUUAGAUUUUGGUUUUCAAAACAACACAAUUUUUUGUAUAGUAAAUUAUACGAGUGCCGGUAACAAAAUUAUAAAACAUAACUUUUUUAAUCGUAAAAUAUAUGAGUAUCAAUAACAUAACCGUUUUCGACCAAACGACAAUGGUACCGAUAUCGGUAGUAGCAGAACCGAUACUCUUUUUUAUCAUUUUUGAUUGAUGUAAAACACGUGUCGAUAUCCUUUUGGACAUAUCAUGACGUCAUAUUUGUAGUUUUUUCUUUCAGUUGUUAUAGCACCGAAACGAACAGAAUCGAUACCAACUAAGCUCCCGCCGCACAGCGCGGGGGAAAACCACUAGUAAUAAUAAUAUAUGCUUUUCUUGCAGAGAAUUUUGUCCGAUGUUAUCAAAUGCCUUGGUGACAAUAAAAAGAACACGAGAGAAUCUACCUAGAUAACUUUGGAUGCUUGGGUUGUUGUUACCCAUCUUAAUAAAAUGGUACCAUAUAUUACUGCUUCUUUGAUUGAUGCUAAACUUGGGGCAGAAGGACGUAAAGACCUUUUUGACUGGUUGUCGAGGUAACUUACAGGAUUGGCAGAGUUCACUGAUGCCAUUCAGUUACUGAGACCAGUUGUUGUUGCUAUGACGGAUAAACCAGCAGAUGUUCGUAAAGCCGCAAAAGCGUGCUUUGGGGAUAUUGUUAGAGUUUGUGGACCAGAAAUGGUCAUGAAGAAUGUAAGAGAUAUUCAAGGUCCCGCGCUGGCGAUUGUUCUUGAACGAUUGAAGACACACGGUGCAUUUCCAGAAGUGCAUGAGAACACAAGAACAGUCCCAGCUGGACAACCAUCGAAAACAGGUUCAAAGAUUGGCAAAUCAAAUGGUCAUGCAUCAAGGCAUGGAAGCAGAUCUGUAUCUUCGGCCAAAGUUAACUCCAGGCUCCAUUGAAUUAAGCACCCAAUGAUUCGGAACUCCUUUAACCCAGUCGAGCAUGACCAGUGACGAAUACGAGUCAGCAGUAUUGCAAGUGAAGCAACACAUUAUUGCAGGUGAUAUUUUCCAGAUUGUUAUAAGUCAGCGUUUUGAAUGUCGAACGCUCGCAGAUCCUUUCGAGAUUUAUCGCACGCUAAGAGUCGUGAAUCCAGUUCCGUACAUGACUUAUUUGCAGGCUCGGGGGUGUAUCUUGGUUGGUUCAAGCCCAGAAAUUCUGACUCGUGUGAAAUCUAAUACGGUUGUUAACCGACCUUUAGCUGGGACAGUAAGAAGGGGAAGGACUCCGGAUGAGGACGCACAGUUGGAGAAGAUGCUGUUAAGUGAUGAAAAGCAAUGUGCGGAACACAUCAUGCUUGUUGACUUAGGGAGGAAUGAUGUCGGAAAGAUGUAGGUCACGAAACCUGGUUCGGUUAAACAGUGUUUGUAACCACUGUUGGGUUAAACAGUGUUUCGAAACGACCGUUGGGUUAAAUAGUGGUUUCAAAACACUGUUGGUUUGAAACAGUGUUUUGUGGAGAAAACAGUGGUUCUUUGUUUCCAAACAGUAGUUUGACUUUGGUCAAACAGACUUUGAUCAAACAGCGUUUUAACUUUAGUCAAACAGUGUUUUAACUUUGGUCAAACAGACUUUUGAACCACUAAGAAUCAUAUUUUUGCAAACAGUUGUUUGACUUUGGUCAAAUAGUGGUUUGACUUUGGUCAAACAGUGGUCAAACAGUGUUACAAGAGUCCAGGCAAGAUGAAGUUGAGAUUUGUGCAUAAAAGCACGAGAGAAUCUACCUUGACAACUUUGGAUGCUUGGGUUGCUGUUACCCAUCUUGAUAAAAUGGUACCAUAUAUUACUGCUUCUUUGACUGAUGCUAAACUUGGGGCAGAAGGACGUAAGGACCUUUUUGACUGGUUGUCGAGGUAACUUACAGGAUUGGCAGAGUUCCCUGAUGCCAUUCAGUUACUGAGACCAGUUACUGUUGCUAUGAUGGAUAAAUCAGCAGAUGUUCGUAAAGCCGCAGAAGCGUGCUUUGGGGAUAUUGUUAGAGUUUGUGGACGAGAAAUGGUCAUGAAGAAUGUAAGAGAUAUUCAAGGUCCCGCGCUGGCGAUUGUUCUUGAACGAUUGAAGACACACGGUGCAUUUCCAGAAGUGAAUGAGAACAAAAGAACAGUCCCAGCUGGACAACCAUCGAAAACUGGUUCAAAGAUUGGCAAAUCAAAUGGUCAUGCAUCAAGGCAUGGAAGCAAAUCUGUAUCUUCGGCCAAAGUUAGCUCUGGGCUCCGUUGAAUUAAGCACCCAACAAUUCGGAACUCCUUCAAAAUUCGGAACUCCUUUAACCUAGUCGAGCAUGACCAGUGACGAAUAUAAGUCAGUAGUAUUGCAAGCGAAAGAACACAUUCUUGCAGGUGAUAUUUUCCAGAUUGUUUUAAGUCAGUGUUUUGAACGUCGAACGUUCGCAGAUCCUUUCGAGAUUUAUCGCGCGCUAAGAGUCGUGAAUCCAAGUCCAUACAUGACUUAUUUGCAGAAUACGGUUGUUAACCAACCUUUAGCCGGGACAGUAAGAAGGGGAAGGACUCCGGAUGAGGACACACAGUUGGAGAAGAUGCUGUUAGGUGAUGAAAAGCAAUGUGCAGAACACAUCAUGCUCGUUGAUGUUUCAUAUUUUUUUCUAUUACAACAACAAUCUAUCGAUAAUCUUGAACCGUUAUGGCUCCCUUUUGGUUCUUAAAGGUGACUGUGGAGUUGCUCGAUAAUCUGACUUGCUGGGACGCCCUUUCUGCUGCACUUCCAGUUGGAACUGUUAGUGGUGCUCCAAAGGUGAAAGCCAUGGAACUAAUAGAUAAACUGGAAGUUACAAGACGUGGGCCCUACAGUGGUGGGUUCGGAUGGUUUAAGCAUACCAUUAUACCCGACUUCUCCACUUAUGCAGUUUCAUUAUUACAAGACUGUGGUUUAAGCAUACCAUUGUUGUCUUCGUUAGCAUAUAGUUUAUUUUUAGUUUUUGUCAAACCUUUAUGCAUGAACAAAAUUAAUAAUAAUAUAAGUAACUUUCUUCAGCCCGGGAAGCAAUUCCGGGUAAUAA